ACUCCUACGGGAGGCAGCAGUGAGGAAUAUUGGUCAAUGGGCGCAAGCCUGAACCAGCCAUGCCGCGUGCAGGAAGAAUGCCCUAUGGAUUGUAAACUGCUUUUAUUUGGGAAUAAACCUCUUUACGUGUAGAGAGCUGAAGGUACCAAAUGAAUAAGCACCGGCUAACUCCGUGCCAGCAGCCGCGGUAAUAC
rnacentral:rRNA from 1 species